rnacentral:tRNA from 1 species
GUCACUUUGCCGGAGUGGUUAACGGGAUCGCCUGCUACUUCCCCGUAGUUGAAAGCGGUUGGGCUUUGCCCGCCUGUGUUCGAAUCGCACAGGUGACG